UGGAGAUGCUCAGUCGGGGGGAAGAAGCUGAGGGUUUCUGACUACUUCCCCACCCGUCAUGAGAACACUUCUAAACUGACAUACGGGCUCCCGUCACAGAGGUGUCCUGAGAAUACGAUGCUGUUGGAUUCUGUGACAUGUUCUCUUACUCUCUGAGCUGUGUGUGAUGCCCGGUCAUCCAACAUCACAGAUUCACAAGGGAAGACGGAGGCCAUUGAACUCUCCUUAUAAAGGCAACCCGACAACAUUUCAACGGUUAGAGAAAAGAGAUUGCUGGCUAAUUAGAUUGAUGAGAAUGUGUCAUUCCGGGAGCAAUCUGGUUAAUCCAGCUCUUCAUAUAUUUUGAAAAACAUUCGUAAAGGACUUUGAGAAGAACAAGAGCUAGCUAAGCAACAAACACAGGUUUUCCACUAUGGGUUUCCCACUAAGACCAUGUUUAUACACUCUUCUAGAAAUCUGACCAGCUGGGGGUGGUGGCACACGCCUGUUAUCCUAGCACUUGAAGGGCUGGGGCCAGAGGAUUGCAAGUUUGAAGCCAGCCUGGACUACAUAGACAUUAAAAAA